AGCUUCAGAAGAGAUUCAAAAAUCUAUUGAGGAUCUUAAAGCUAGCAAAGUCAUAACAGCUAAAGAACCUUGCCCUCCAGAAACUGAUCUUAAAACUAGUAAUCUGUUUAUUCUACUAUUAGCAAAUUGGAGCAGGGAGAGUUGGAAGAGAACUUGGAGCUCGAAGACGAAGAAGGAGAUGUUAUGUUUGUCAUAACUGAUGAAUGGAAAGAUUUCUUUGAAAAGUCUGAAGCUAAAAGGAGAUCAAAGAAGCACCAGAAGAAAGGCAGCAAGUGAUGGUGCUUCACUGUCGAGAGAUAUAGAAAAGCAUAUGCAAUGUCUAUUGAAACUCAACCUUCAAAGAAUCAAUUGCCACCACUUCAGAAAGACUAUAUUGUCAGUACUCCAAACACAAAAAGACAAAGACGAAGACCAAUAAUAAGAGAUUUAGGAGAGUAGAUGAAAUAGAUGGGAAAAAACAUGAAAAAGUCAAAUGUACUAGGUGCAAGGGAUGGGAGCAUCACAAGGUUACAUGCAUGCAAGGAUCCACUCAACACAACCGCAAUAAAUAUAACAAAAGAAAAUCCACAUCCUGCAAGGGAAGAUUCAGCUAGUUCAAGGGGAAGAGGGAGAGCUAGAAGUGGAGGAAGCUGAACUUUAAUACGGGAAGGAUGCACAACUAUGCUAGAGGAAGGAUGCUUGGAUGGGGAGGGAAUGUAGCGGCUGCAAGAGAGAUGCCACUGAAACAUUUCAACACUGAAAUUUCUAAGGAGAGUUGCAGCCAAUUCAACACUCAUCAAGCUCACUCCUCUGCUACUGAUGAAUUGGCAGUUCAAGGACAAUCUACAGUCAAAACUAUGAGCCUAUUACACGAAGGGUUCAAUGACAAUUUUGAAUGUUUUUUAUAUCCAAGAUGUCAUGUUUGUGUGCCAAAGUUUGGUUUAUUUUGGGCGUGUUAAGUGC